AUUGAACGCUAGCGGGAUGCUUUACACAUGCAAGUCGAACGAGUGGCGGACGGGUGAGUAAUAUAUCGGAACGUGCGCAGGAGCGGGGGAUAACUACUCGAAAGAGUGACUAAUACCGCAUACUAUUGGAGCGGCCGAUUUCGGAUUAGCUAGUUGGUGGGGUAAAGGAUCACCAAGGCAACGAUCCGUAGCUGGUUUGAGAGGACGAACAGCCACACUGGGACUGAGACACGGCCCAGACUCCUACGGGAGGCAGCAGUGGGGAAUUUUGGACAAUGGGGGAAACCCUGAGCCAGCCAGACCGCGUGUAUGAGAAGGUCUUAGGGUUGUAAAGUACUUUUGGCAGAGAAGCGGUAUCUGCAGGAUAAGCACCGGCUAACUACGUGCCAGCAGCCGCGGUAAUAC
rnacentral:rRNA from 1 species